GCCCGCCGCCCAGGACCCAGGGCCCUUCUGAAAAGUGUGGAGCCUCCCUACACCCUACACACACGGCGGCUGUUCCCCAUGACACAGCGGGGGGCAAAUGACCACCAGGAGCCAGGGAGUCCCAGGGAAAGGACGCAGGUGGCUCGUGUCCUGGAAUUUCAUGGGAGCCAUUUGAAAUCAUCAGCAAAUGACGCCCAAGAGUCUAUAAGGGACCUCAGAGCAGGGGCUGGAUGAGACAGGGUGGGCAGCCACAAAACAGGGUGGUGAAGGCCCGAGGCUAGGAGGGCUGGGUUAGCACUCGGCCACCAGAGGGAAGCAAGCAAGACCCACACCUCCUGAGGAUUGUUGGGUUUUCCCAUGGACUAGGGUUAGACAGCCAGUGAGUCUGAAUGGAAGGCGCCAGGCAUGGCAGUGGGGAAGUGAGGUGGGGCCUGGAAUACACGGGCAAGGGCCUCUGGGAGGACCGCGCAGGCUCGGCACACUGAGCGGACUGACUGCAGACCCUCCUCCCACACCAGGGGGACCACCUCUCUGUGCAAAGAUGUCCUCACUUGAUAUUCUCAAUUCUUUGAGGUCAAGGUUUUAUUAACACUCCCUGAAAAGUGGGAGAGCUUAGUGAUAAGACAGCAUCAUUUUUGCAAGACACAAAGCAAGCCCAGCUGGAUGGCAUGUGCCAGCUCCCUCGCCAUGCUGGGCACUUUUACUCACAUCUCACCCCUGCAGACAGAUGCCAGUGUCCUCACUCACCCAC
rnacentral:lncRNA from 1 species